rnacentral:rRNA from 1 species
UACGUAGGGGGGCUAGCGUUGUCCGGAUUUAUUGGGCGUAAAGAGCGUGUAGGCGGCCAGGUAGGUCCGUUGUGAAAACUGGAGGCUUAACCUCCAGCUGUCGAUGGAAACCAUCUGGCUAGAGUCCGGAAGAGGAGAGUGGAAUUCCUGGUGUAGCGGUGAAAUGCGCAGAUAUCAGGAAGAACACCCCGCGGCGAAGGCGGCUCUCUGGGACGGUACUGACGCUGAGACGCGAAAGCGUGGGGAGCGAACAGG